GUAAAUAGCAUGGGCCCCCAGGAGGUGUGGCCGGAGGAUCCCUGAGAGCUCCGGUCACUUAACAGCCUCUCUGCUUCCCCGAGAUUUCACCUGGAGACCUUCAUUUCUUUGGGUCUGAAAUCCUUUUUGAUUUUCCAAAAUACUCUAGUUAAAAUGACAAUACCUCUGAGAGUGGUCACAUGAAACUUUGAGCCUACGCAUCAGCUAAAAGCUUAAGCGAAGGAGCAGAGAGUGAGGCCUUAGGAAAAGGGCACAGGAUGCACAAAGGUGGGCAAGAAGCAAGUGUGGACUCUGAAGCGGGAACCCACUUUGACUCCAUGGUGAUUUCACCUAAGGCCAGUGGGAAAGGGAGAAUAUUGUGUCUGCUGUUUACGGGUGUAUUACAAAUUACUCUGACACUUAGAAGCUUAAAGCAACAAUAAACAUUUAUCAUCUCACCCAGUUUCUGUGGGUCAAGAAUCUGAGAAUGGCUUAGUUAGGUGGUUCUGACUCCAGAUGUCUCGUGAGGGUGCAGGUGAGAGUGGGCUGGGGCCACAGUUUCAUCUGAAGGCUUGGCUGGGGCAGAAGGAUCUGCUCCAAGUUGACUCACUCACCUGGCUAUCGGCAAGAUGAUGCUGGCCAAUAGCAGGAGGCCUCAGUCCCUCCCCACAUGGACCUCCCCAUGGGGCUGCUUGCGUGUCCUCACAACGUGCUGGUCAGCUUCCUUCAGAGCAAAUGAGCUGAGAGGGAUUAAGAGAGAGAGAGCCGGCAGGAGCAAAGAGGAGGCUGCAGUGCCUUUUGUGACCUCACCUUAGCAGUCACACUCCUCCAUUUCUGCAGUGUCCUGCUGGCUACCCUCUUCAGUGUGGGCAGGUCCUACACGAAGGUGUGAACACCAGGUGGAGAUUGGUGGGAGCCAUCUUGGACGCUGACUUAUGGCUACCACAAGCAUCAUCUUUAUUUUACAGGUGACAAAGUGGAAGCACAAAGAGCUGAACUGAAUGUAUUUAGGAUUUUUUGUGAGGCAGGGAUCGCUCUAGAACAUUCUACACUAGAACACUAGGACAUUCCUAGAAGCAUUUAUGACAGAGUCUGGCAUCUAGCAGGCAUUCAACAAACACUUGAUGGAUGAGACGUGUCAAUGGGUGGUUGCUCGAGAAAAGAGAAUGGUUCUUGAACCUCAGUCCAUUUGUUUACUGUUCUAUGAGAUGUCUUUAGGGAGAAGAGAGAGGAACAGGAUUUUGCUUUGGUGGAUUUCUCCUAUCACUGACUUCUUGUGAUGGUGGCCGACUGUUCAGUGAGUCUUCUGUUUCUUUAAGGCCCGAAUCUUCUGGCGUGUUGUUGAAGGGAAAGGGUGAGUGGAAGCUCCAGAGUGAGGAGCCCUCCCCUCCUUCAGAUGAUAAAAGGGUCACUUUAAUUGAAAUAGAGUUAUAACUGUUUGCCAGAUUUAAGCAUAGGCCCUCUCAUAUGUCAGACCCUUGGAGCAGAGAGAUUAUAUAUCCGGGCAGCAUCUAUAUAAAUGUAUGUAUAAUUUAUGCAAUAUUUGUCCUAUUCACGCUUUCUACUUAGCCUAUCCAUUAAAGCCCAUCACAUUAAUUUAAUUGAAAAAUUCUGGGGGAAUUGUAUUAGCUUUUUUCCCAUUAAAUUAACAUUACAGCCUUUAAAUAGAUAUCCUAGAUGCCCAUUGUUGCUAACAAAAUUAUUAUGCAAAUGGAAAUCUGGCCUUUCUGGAUUUGGCCAUCCCCUUCCCACCCUCCUCCUCCUUGCGUGACCCCGUUAAUUUAAUUGCCCUUUCCCCUGAGUUCCCAGGCCACAGACGUGGGAUGGGAACCCGGGCCUGAGCCCGAGGCUCCUCGCAGGGCUCCGGGGCCAGGUCCAGGCCAGGAUAGCAGCCUGGAGCUCCAGUCUCGGGUCUCCAAGGCCCUUGUGAAAACGCUCUUAUCUCAAGAAAGGAGAAAGAGUGUGCGGUCCCUCCCCAGGCCCCUUGGUGGCGAAGAACACGCUUGGUAUCGAAGAGCGCGGGUGUGUGAGUCAGAGGCGCUGGGUUUGAAAUCGGAUUCUGCCCCUAGUGACUGGGAUUCUGAGCAAUUGUCCUAACCCCUGUCCAACCAAGAGAACCACUGCUUCUUCAAGGGAAGCUGGAGGACGACGUGAAAUAAUGGACAGAGCCUGCACCGGACAUACAAGAAUGGCUAAAAUUGCAAGAAAAGAAACCCGUCAAUACCAAACGUGGCAAUGCUUGGAGCAGCUGGAACUCUCCUACACUGAAGGUUGAAUAAACGUGAUACCAGGUGGAAGCUCAGAUCUACACGAGGAAUGAAGAAUGCCGGAAAUCAUAAAUAUAUGCUGAACUGCCAGAACCCAUGGACAUUUAGGACUCGAGUAAAUCACAGGACAAUAAGAGCAACCAAGUACGGCCUCGUCCAAGUACAGCUUUGCAGGUUUUCUGCCCUCUUUUCUGGAAGGUGCACAAUGCUCGGCUCUGUGGUUAUUUUCGCCUAACAGCUGUGUUUCCGGUGAGCAGCUGGGAGAUGCUUCUGACUCAGCAGAACUGGAGCAGUAACCGUCAAGAAGCCGCUCAAGCGAGGCUAGAAAUCAAGAAGCAGUUUCCCCCUCAGUCCCCGUCCUUUCACUUCCCCACCCGUGGGCACCUUUUGAAAGUCUCACAGAGCACUUCUGAAAAACCGCUUGGACCCGCGUGCUCGAGGCCUGGCUGGAGGUGGGCCCGCAGCUAGGCUUUCCGAAAACAGAUGGAUUCCGGAAAGGACUGUGCCAAACCCACCGGCUUUGUUUGGAAGGCCCCUCCCAGGAGGCCCCCCCUUCCCCGCGCGGCUUGUAUCUUACAAGUUUCCCACAGGUCUGAGCAGUGAAAGCAGAGGCGGUCGGGACUUCUGUGGUUUUCCAGGGUGGGGCCCAUGUUGCCUUCCCCAGGCUGGGGUGGCUUAGGUUCUGCAGCUCGCCUGUUUUUCAGAGGUGAUGAUUUCGCCCUGGGUCUGGGAGGCGGCUCCAAAUUUCUACCCACUGGCCCUGGAUUCCAGCCCUGACCUCGAGGGGGGCGCUAGAAGUCCUGCCCGCAGCGGGAAGGGAGCAAACCAGAGAGGACCUGGCGUCCUGGAGAGCUGGCCUCUGUGCAUGCUGGUGCCUGCAAAGGGCUCACGGGAGAGGGAGACAGCUGCACCCGGAGCGCCUUGCUGCUGUUCCGAGAAAGAAAGGAACAAAUAAAUUUAGCUCCAACCUACGCAUCCUUCACAGCUGCUUAUUGACCAAACAGAAAGGGGCCUCUCUUUCAACCCUGGCUUCUCAGCUCUGUGCCCAAGGAGGUCUGCCACGGCCCGCACAAGGGGCUUUUCUGGGAGGUAACCGACCCCGGCCACCUUUAGCUCUGGGCUGGGCGUUGCACAAGAGCUCAGGUUCAAGGUGCGUGGUGCUUUUGGCCAUCCUGAAACAAAAUGGUGGCCGGGAAGCGUUUCCACCCGGGCCUUGCUCAGCUCCUGGAACUUCUCAUGCGCGUCUUUGGGAGGCAGAGCAUGGGGCAGGCUUGAGGGAUGUGUGGCUGCUCCAAGGCCAGCCGAUAGCUCCCUGAGCCAUUAGUUUAAUAGCACCAUUCGUGGGAAUAAAGAACUCGCUGACGGGGGUCCGCAAGUUAAGAGACUGGAACGAAGUGCUGAAGAGGUUUCAGGCAGCUCGCCAGUGUGGAGGGGCUCCUGUGGGACAGGGAGGGCCGGCCCUGUGCUUCCAGUCACCGGAGUCUGGCUCAAGUCCUAGCUCCACCGCCUAAGGGCAGGGUGCCUCUGGGCAGGGAGAGCUGGCUCCUCACCUGGAAGUGAGAUGCUGGCCGUGACACUGGGCCCUUCUGAGCCUUGGCUCCUUACCUGGGAAGCAGAGAUAGUGUUCUAAGCUUGUCAUGAGGAUUAAAGGACAUCGUGUCCCGAGCAUGCCUGGCCCAGUUCUUGGUGUGCCAGGAGGGCCUGUGGUAACUGUUUCACCUGCCCGGGCCUGUUGUCUUCCCUUCUGGCCACGGCGUCCCACUGUCUCUCCUCCUGCUCUUCUCCAUAAGAUUUGGGGAUCACCUUACUCUCAAACUCUGAAGAUGAGCACGUAGCCCAGGCCAAAUCAUGGACAGUCCCACACACCCCUGGCCAUAGUGAUUAGUUUCUGGAUGUGCAUGGGACCCAAGCUGGGACAAUCAGAGCCAACUUUAGGAAUGUUAUUGGAACUAUUAGGACAGAGAAAAUCUUUCUUCUGGGUUUCUAAGAGGUCAAGGUUUAAAUGUGGUGCUGCUGGUGGCUGUCUUUGUAUAAAGGAGGGAAGAAUCUGCCAACAGGAGAAGGAAGCCAACAGAGAGAAAAACAAACAUGAGGUGACUGUGUCCUGACCAUUUGACCCCUUGAUCCAGCCAUACCUGAACCCAUCACUCCUUAAACUUCCCAGUUAUCUGAG
ensembl:lncRNA